UUUGAAAGGGAUCGAAGGUUGUUAAAGAUAAUGCGAUUUCACCAUUGAGCUUCUAGAUGUGUGAUAAUAUAUCUAUUGUUGCAAUUUAAGUUAGCAAGCAGUGGUAAAAUGUUAUUUAACAAGUAAACAAAUUCAGACAACAUCCUUAAGGUGUUGUCGUGCGUGUGGUGCGCGGUAUCUAUGCGGCGUGCGUGCAUACGUGCACGUGUGUGGUUCUGAACUUCUUCAUCUGUUGCGUUGAAUGGUCAUCAUAAUCUCAAGUAAUUUUCAGCUAAAAGGAUAAUGUACGUUCGUCCGUCAUGAUGUUAUAAUUUAUAAAGGAAUAGGGCCUUUAAUUACAAGUAAAUGAUAUUAUCAUUUAUUUAAUUAAAUUCAUUUAUAUCCAAUAAUUAUUCUCACUGACGACAUCAAAAGGAAAAAAAAAAAACAGUAUUAAAAGAAUUGAUAAGGAUGGCUCAUCGUUCGUGCCUUCGUUGUACCUUCACAUGUUCUCAUUUCAUAGUGGUACUCAACAACUUAAAAGAAACUAAGAGGAUUAUUCAAGGGGAGGACUAAGGAUGGGAAGAAGAGCCAGAAGAAAUUUAAUUUUGAUUUUAAGUCAAUUAUCAUAUAUGUAUCGUUCGCUAGUCACUCUCACUCCUCUUAUCAAUUCAAGAAAUUAAGCUUGAAUUUUGUAUAGCCCGCGAUGACCAAGUCUUUUUCACACACAUGGAUCAUGGAUGGUUCAAUUAAUUUUAAUAACAAGAAAUUUACCACAAAAUCAACAACGCCUACACACACAAUACACACAUUUAUAGUCAUUCUCAGGUAGUGACCCUCAAUUUUUUUAAUGUAGACAUGCAGUUAAAUCAUAUAUUUUAAUAGAGUUAAUUUUCAAUAGAUUAUAAAACCAUGCAGUUUAAUAACAUUAAAAACUGACUCUAUUAAAUCCCACGGUUUAAAAAUUUGUUAGCAUAAAAAAAGAAAAAAUACGUCCGCACUAGAAAAUGACAUUAUAUAUAUCUAUAGUUUUUUUCUAGCGAAUGUAUCCUCAUUUUAAUAUAGUGAGAAUGCAUACUAAAAUAUAAAAAAUUACAAAUUUCAAUAUAUUA
rnacentral:lncRNA from 1 species